UACAGAGGGUGCAAGCGUUAAUCGGAAUUACUGGGCGUAAAGCGAGCGUAGUCGGUUAUUUAAGUCGGAUGUGAAAUCCCCGGGCUCAACCUGGGAACUGCAUUUGUGACUGCAAGGCUAGAGUACGGUAGAGGGGGAUGGAAUUCCGCGUGUAGCAGUGAAAUGCGUAGAUAUGCGGAGGAACACCGAUGGCGAAGGCAAUCCCCUGGACCUGUACUGACGCUCAUGCACGAAAGCGUGGGGAGCAAACAGG
rnacentral:rRNA from 1 species